AACGUAGGAGACAAACGUUAUCCGGAAUUAUUGGGCGUAAAGAGCUCGUAGGCGGUUUGUCGCGUCUGCCGUGAAAGUCCGGGGCUCAACUCCGGAUCUGCGGUGGGUACGGGCAGACUAGAGUGAUGUAGGGGAGACUGGAAUUCCUGGUGUAGCGGUGAAAUGCGCAGAUAUCAGGAGGAACACCGAUGGCGAAGGCAGGUCUCUGGGCAUUAACUGACGCUGAGGAGCGAAAGCAUGGGGAGCGAACAGG
rnacentral:rRNA from 1 species